GGCGGACGGGUGAGUAAUGCCUAGGAAAUUGCCCUGAUGUGGGGGAUAACCAUUGGAAACGAUGGCUAAUACCGCAUGAUGCCUACGGGCCAAAGAGGGGGACCUUUGGGCCUCUCGCGUCAGGAUAUGCCUAGGUGGGAUUAGCUAGUUGGUGAGGUAAGGGCUCACCAAGGCGACGAUCCCUAGCUGGUCUGAGAGGAUGAUCAGCCACACUGGAACUGAGACACGGUCCAGACUCCUACGGGAGGCAGCAGUGGGGAAUAUUGCACAAUGGGCGCAAGCCUGAUGCAGCCAUGCCGCGUGUAUGAAGAAGGCCUUCGGGUUGUAAAGUACUUUCAGUCGUGAGGAAGGCGGCGUCGUUAAUAGCGGCGUUGUUUGGCGUUAGCGACAGAAGAAGCACCGGCUAACUCCGUGCCAGCAGCCGCGGUAAUACGGAGGGUGCGAGCGUUAAUCGGAAUUACUGGGCGUAAAGCGCAUGCAGGUGGUUUGUUAAGUCAGAUGUGAAAGCCCGGGGCUCAACCUCGGAAUAGCAUUUGAAACUGGCAGACUAGAGUACUGUAGAGGGGGUAGAAUUUCAGGUGUAGCGGUGAAAUGCGUAGAGAUCUGAAGGAAUACCGGUGGCGAA
rnacentral:rRNA from 1 species